AUUUUUUUUCUCAUAGAAAGCAGAUACUCUGUUUCCAUUUCAGCUUUUCUUAUCUUGUUUUUAUUCUGUUAAACGAAGGUAGCAGUUCCUUGUAAAUGGACCUCUUGCAGCUCUUGAAAGGAAAAUACUACUCAGGUCAAGUUCUUAUGUUUAUAUGACUUGUUAUCUGGUCUAAGGAGGAAAAAAUCAUAGUGUGGGAUGGGAGGACAAGGGAAACCUUGCAUUUGGAAAACAUCGUUACUCUGUCCCAACCUCUACCUCCCACACACUCAGAGAAUCCUUUGUCUUUGUACAUUCUGUGUGUACCUACGAUUUACCAACACCUCUGUGCUUGUACUCACCCCUUUCUUCUUGCCUACUGACCAGUUUGUGAGUCUUUGCUCCUGUGCAACUACCUGCUUUCCGGGACAGACUGAAGUCACAUGGUAGUAUUCCACUAUAGGCGUUCAAUGACAGUGGGGCAAGGGUUGAAAAGCCAACACCGUCUUUAUGUAAAGUUACCUCUUCUGCAGGUGGUGAGGUGACAUUCAGGAAGCUUAUGACACAGAAUCAAGUGGAAUGUCUGUGUGAGGUCAACUGCCUGUGUGAGGAAAAUCAUCACUUUUUAGAAAGGCAGCAGAAAGAUACACAAAACAAAUGAAUGCUACUGCAGAUCCCCCUACUCUUCUGUAGGUGAUCUUAAGUGGACCGCAUCUUGGAAACGAAGGGUAGAAUGGAUGAUUGGAUGCUGAAGAAUACAGAGACCAAAUGGCCAGAGACAAAAGGAAAGAAGCACAGCAAUAUAAAAUGGCAGAGAGUGGGUUACUGUAAUCUACUCAGGUGGCAAAAGAUGCUCCGUGAAGGGAGCAUGUUGAAGUUGUCUCCUCCACUGGUUCAGCAGACCACGCACUGUGUAAGGCAUCAAAAAGAGGUUUGGGUACAGUCGACCAACAUAAUCUCUUCCUUCUAUGGUACCCAGAAAGUAUGUUGGUGACAAGCAGGCUGGAUACAAGUGUCUCAGAUGUUCCCAGUGUCUCCACUGGAUUUUCAUGCAUGGCUUCCAGUCCCUCACAAUAUACGACUGUGCUACAAGGUUAGUGCCUUUCCUUUAUACCCAGCUUCUACCAUCUCCUUUCCAGCAGACCAACAUAUUUCAUAUGUUCCUACUGAUGAAACUUAUUUUUUAAGUUGCUUCUCAUUGUUCAUUUCUUCAGAUGUGUCUGAAUGUGUGGUGUGUUAAGUCUGAUGUGGGUUUUCUGACAAAAGGAAGAAUCUUUGUUAGUUUAUUAGCAUCCACACUGACAAAGCUCAGAUUUCUGUGAUGCAUAUCUUUUCACCACCAGAAAGAGGUCUAUUUAUCUUCUACAUGUUUUCUUCUGCUUUAACUUUCUUUUGCUGUUUUGUUGUUCUCUUUUAAGUACCCUCAUACAACCUGCAGUGUUUGGAUAAAAGAUUGAGGUUGAUGGUAGGGCUAGGGAAUAAAGCCACUGAAAUGCCCCCUCUAAACUAAGUC
rnacentral:lncRNA from 1 species